rnacentral:lncRNA from 10 species
CUUGAGAGGGAAUGCAAGGUUCAAGGACACAAGCCUAGAUCUUGCCUGUAUAGAACCUCAUGAUGUUAUGCUUCUCUAAAAUGAGGCCUGGAGGAGACAUGUUGAAAGUGACCCAUAAAUCUGCAGUAUCUCAUGUCUCUCAAUGGGGACAAGGAGUACCAUGGGAAAUAGCAUUAGGUCAAUGACAGUAACAACUCCCAUAGCUGGGCAGCCCUGCCCUCUUGCAACAGCUGGAUUUGGCCAGUGAUCAGCCCAGCAGGAAUGUAGAUGGCAAAGGAGAGAGAUUCCAGAGGAACUGGUCCCAAUGGUCUCCUGGUGAGGAGGUGAUGGCCGGAAGAACAUGGCAGAGGGCAAAACAAAACAGCAUUGGGAACAAGCUCUGUUUAAAAGGAGACUUGUGAACAGCAAAGAGUAGAAAGGGUUCUCUUACAACUGAAGCCCAUGGAAGACAAAUGUGUACUGGGUAUUAUGAGAUUCUGGAAUUUCCCCAAACCACAUUGAUUGCUGGGAGAAUAGAAGAAGUGGAUUACAAGUGGAACUUAGAAGGGGAGUAUUCGAGAAGACGUCUCUGCAAAUCCAUUUAGAGAGACCUUUCUCCAGUGGUGACUCAAAGAUGCAGCUCCUUUCAUCCUGUGGCUUGGCCAUCUUCAGCACAUGGCUCCCAAGGAUGUCCUCAGGAUGGUCUCUAAUCCAAGGAGCCUGAAGAGAAAAAAAGGCAUGGAGUAUUGUGAGUGGUAGGUGGUUAUGGACCAGUUAUGGAAGAAUACACAUCACUUUUGCCCACCUUCUACUAACCAGAACUCACACAGCCAUAGACACUGACAAGUAGGACUUAACAAGAAUCUAAUUUUGAGUCUAGGAAUACGACUGUAGCAAAUAUUUAAC